rnacentral:rRNA from 1 species
ACUCCUACGGGAGGCAGCAGUAGGGAAUCUUCCACAAUGGGCGCAAGCCUGAUGGAGCAACACCGCGUGAGUGAAGAAGGGUUUCGGCUCGUAAAGCUCUGUUGUUAAAGAAGAACACGUAUGAGAGUAACUGUUCAUACGUUGACGGUAUUUAGCCAGAAAGUCACGGCUAACUACGUGCCAGCAGCCGCGGUAAUACGUAGGUGGCAAGCGUUAUCCGGAUUUAUUGGGCGUAAAGAGAGUGCAGGCGGUUUUCUAAGUCUGAUGUGAAAGCCUUCGGCUUAACCGGAGAAGUGCAUCGGAAACUGGAUAACUUGAGUGCAGAAGAGGGUAGUGGAACUCCAUGUGUAGCGGUGGAAUGCGUAGAUAUAUGGAAGAACACCAGUGGCGAAGGCGGCUACCUGGUCUGCAACUGACGCUGAGACUCGAAAGCAUGGGUAGCGAACAGGAUUAGAUACCCUGGUAGGAUAGCG